rnacentral:misc_RNA from 1 species
GCACACUUUCAAGUAUGUGAAUGAAGUGUCAAUGAUUGAUAUAUUAGUAGUGACGGGUACAAGCAAAGAGACUUGGAUCCUUAUUUUUGCUCACCUCAAUCAGGGCAUAUGGUACAUAAAAAACACAAGAAAGCAUAAUAACUGUAGGUUCAACAAGAUGCUUAAUGUGCAAACCGCACAUGCAUUUUGCUGCAUGGAUCCCCUAGCCAUCGAAUUUCCAAUUCCUAUACUCAAUAAUUUGACCGGUGAGCUUACGGUUGGAAUCUGCUCCAUGGAGUGGUGAGCUGACAAUAGACUGUAGAAUACCUCCAUCAUAAAAGACCAUGUAAAGUGAAUAGAUAACCAAAACAAAAUAGCUAAAGCUUCAUCCCUUUGCUUCAUGGAGAAACUCUUGCAUUUCAUAAAUUUGGCAAACUGUACAAUCAACUGAAAAAUUCGUCUUUCCAUAUCUCAUUCUUCUUUCCAUAUUCGGCCGGUAACCCUUAACUUCAGCUCUUGCCUAUCCCCACCAGAAAAAUAAAGAGCCAAACUCCUCUGAAUAAUGAG